GACAGAGGUGCCGAGCGUUAGGCGGAAUCACUGGGCUUAAAGCGUGUGUAGGCGGACUUCUAAGUACCUUGUGAAAUCCCACGGCUCAACCGUGGAACUGCUUGGUAUACUGGUUGUCUUGAGCCACUUAGGGGCAGUCGGAACAGACGGUGGAGCGGUGAAAUGCGCAGAUAUCAGGAGGAACACCAGUGGCGAAGGCGGUGCUCUGGGCCGGAACUGACGCUGAGGAGCGAAAGCGUGGGGAGCGAACAGG
rnacentral:rRNA from 1 species